CUGUCAGCAUCUUUUGCGGCACCAUUGAAAUGAAUGGGUCCGCAUUCGAACCGCAAAAACUGCGGCUCGGAUGCGGACCAAAACAACGGUCGUGUGCAUGAGGCCUAAGAAUGUGCAUUUUCUGAGCUGACCACAAAUUUUAGGAUUAUCUCAUAUUUUUUAACCUUUUUAACAAAAUUUGGUACUUAGUAAUAUAAAAUUAUGUCAUUGUAUCUUGAUUGCUUGAUCUUUGCAUGUUUAUUGCCCAUAACUGUGUCGGGAUGCCCCUGUUCCUAUCAAGGGUUUGUCCAGAUUUAUGUAACAGAAGCUUAAUUGUAUGUCACAGUUAUGCAACUUACUAAGAUAUUUUGUACUUUAUUUCCACACUAUGUUCAGGAUCUUUGCUUUUAGGAAAAGAAGCAUUACUUUUUUACAUUCAUUAGGCAAAAUACCCAUCGUGACGCACUACCGAGUUGUGCAGCCAGUACAUAUUGAUGACCUAUCCUCAGGGUCUGACUCCUGGCACCCCCACCGAUCAACUGUUUGAAGAGCAGGCGGCGCUCGUACGAGCACUAAUUCUCUUUAAGGUUACACUGUGCAUCGCCUCGGCUGUCUCUCCGCAGUGUAAUUACAAGUGCUUGUUCCAUUCACUUGAAUAUGACAAGUACUUGUAACUACACUGGAAGCGAGACAACGUGCAAUGUAAUCUUGAAGAGGAAGUAGUGCUCGUAGAAGUGCUGCCUCCUCUUCAAACAGCCGGGAGUCAGACCGCCACCGAUCAGAUAUUAAUGACCUAUCCUGAGAAUAAGUCAUCAAUAUGUACUGGCUGCACGACCCCUUUAAGCUUUAUUAACAUAAUCCAAUAAAACUCCAUUAAAGGGGUGGUACAGGAUUAGAAAAACAUGGCUGCUGUCUACACGAAAUAGUGCUAUGGCUGUUGAAGGUUUUAUUUGCUUUUGCUGCUUUGAAGUGAAUGGAACUGAGCUGCAACAACGAGGUGCGGCACUGUUUUUGGAAGAAAGUGGUCUGUACGCCCACUUGCAGCUCUCAUCAUCCUAUGUAUUAGACCUUGAUACCACACCCUUAAAUGUUUUUUGCCUAUUCAAAUUUUAUCAUGAGAAGAUGCAAAAUAAUGUAUUGUUCCUAUUUAUUGCAAGUCCUAUAUCUAAAAUACAGAGUUUUCUAUAAUUGUAUGUUUUUUCAUCGUUUGAAUUGUAUACUAGGUCUGGGCAGAGUACUGUAUACAGAGAUUGCCUAUGCCACAUUAAAGCCAUAUAUUUUAAUAAGCUCCUGUAUGAAAGCUGACUAAAGUAAAAUAUACGGUACCUUUUAAAAGACUGAAAGGUUUCUGUUAAAACCACUUGUCUGUUUAUUGUAUCUCAUUUCUCCAUGUUGCUUAUGGUACAGUAUUCUUGC